rnacentral:rRNA from 1 species
CACUAAGCGGAGGAAAAGAAACUAACCAGGAUUCCCCUAGUAACGGCGAGUGAAGAGGGAAAAGCCCAGCACCGAAGCCUGUGGCAGUUUUGCUACUAGGCAAUGUGGUGUUUAGGUCGGCUCGCGGGAUCGCCACUCCACUCGAAGUCCAGCCUUGAUUAUGGUUGCCAGGAAUUGGCCCAUAGCGGGUGAUAGGCCCGUACGGGUGGAGGUGUCAGAUGUGUCAGGCGAUUCACCAGGCCGGCCUUAGAGUCGGGUUGUUUGCGAAUGCAGCCCAAAGUGGGUGGUAAACUCCAUCCAAGGCUAAAUACUAGCACGAGUCCGAUAGCGAACAAGUACCGUGAGGGAAAGUUGAAAAGUACUUUGAAGAGAGAGUAAACAGUACGUGAAACCGCAUAGAGGUAAACGGGUGGCGUCAAGCUGCAAGCCCGGAGAAUUCAGUCGGUCAGGGUGUCGACCUGUGCUCAGCGCAGUCAUCAGUCGGUGUGGAGUGUGGCUAGUCUGCCGGCAGACGGCAGGCCCAGCUGUCAUAGGCUGGGAUUUGCGUACCGAGUGGAAGUCGGAGCAAGCUAGCCGUCCGUAGGACUGCCUGGCCGAUGCACUUUCUCUGUGGUGAACACCACGACCGGUGGAACUGCCAGUCUACCUUAGCCAGCUUUGCUACACGAUCUGGCCCCUAACCGGGUCGGGUCGGGUGGUGAUCACAGGCAAUUUCAGUGCACGGUGCCUGCGGGUUCUAAUCCGCCCGUAGGCAUGUUAUCGGGAACUGGUUGUCAACGGGUCGGCUCGGACACUGUUCUGUGGAUGUGGUGUCUGGGUGGCUCGGUGGGCUAUGGCGGCGGGAGAAGCUGUGCAGGGCACCGGAGAUGUCGGUCUGUUGAUGUCGGCGGCUGCGCACGCACUACAGCUUGGCGUGUGUUCUGUUGUCCCAGGCACUGAUAGCGUUGCCAGGGCCUGCCAAUGCUCGGGUCUGAUCAUCGUGUCGCCUGUCAAAAUGACGGGUCCGGUGGUGGCCUGGAGUUGGAUGGUGCCUGUUGGCGGCGUGGUCGUAGUGCAGCCGUGGUUAGAGGCCGGAUAGUCAGUGGUGUAGUGGUAGACGAGCUACCCGACCCGUCUUGAAACACGGACCAAGAAGUUCAACAUGUGCGCGAGUCAUUGGGUCCUACGAAACCCACAGGCGCAGUGAAAGUGAAGCUCCGGCAUGGUUUCGGCCGUGUCGGGGUGUGGUGAGAUCCCACUGUUUCUCGCCGCUACAGCUGUCUGAGCUAAUUGAACGAGCAGUGGGCGCAUCACCGGCCCGUCCCAUGAUGUGGCUACCGGUCAGCGGUGUGGUCGGAGUGAUCUGGCCGCCUGUCUGAUGGGUACGUCAUCGGGGCGGAGCAUGAGCGCACAUGUUGAGACCCGAAAGAUGGUGAACUAUGCUUGCGUAGGUUGAAGCCAGAGGAAACUCUGGUGGAGGACCGCAGCGAUUCUGACGUGCAAAUCGAUCGUCAAACGUGAGCAUAGGGGCGAAAG